rnacentral:tRNA from 1 species
GCAAUAUGAUGUAAUGGUAACAUAUAAGAUUCAUGAUCUUAUUUUAACAGUUCAAAUCUGUUUAUUGCA